rnacentral:lncRNA from 1 species
CUCAUGGUUGCACUGGAGUUCACCUUCCCUCCUGAGACACUCUUCAAGCACAGGAAGACCACAGUCUUGGGCGACAUGACGAAAAUGAGGUUCUUGUCUUGGGAAAAUGAAGAUUGAAGGUGUCAAAACAGAAAACAGCAAGUAAGCUAUAGAGAGUGAUCAAAUACAUGUUUAUUAAAAAGAAUAAAAAGGAAGAACCAGAAGAGAUUUAGAAUAGCAAAAGCAAUUCAAGGCAACAAAAACACGAUGAGGGAUAUCACAAUCCCCACCUUGAAACUAUACUACAAAGCCACUGUGAUAAAAACAGUAUAGUACUGGCAAAGAAACAGACCCAAGGAUCAGUGGAAUAGAUUAGAAGAUUCAGAAAAAACUGCAGACAUACUCAACCACCGCAUCUUUGACAAAGGAGCUAACCAUCCUUACUUGAGGAAAGAUAGACUAUUUAAUAAAUGGCAUUAGAAAAACUGGAUUUCAAUCUGCCAAAGAUUAAAACUAGACCCA